rnacentral:misc_RNA from 1 species
AGCAGCCGCGGUAAUUCCAGCUCCAAUAGCGUAUAUUAAAGUUGUUGCAGUUAAAAAGCUCGUAGUUGAAUUUCGGGGUCAAUUAAUUGGUCGUGCCUCUGGUACGUACUGAUUUUAUUGGUUUCUCCCUUCUGACGAACCAUGAUGUCAUUAAUUUGGUGUCGUGGAGAAUCAGGACUGUUACUUUGAAAAAAUUAGAGUGUUUAAAGCAAGCUAACGCUUGAAUACAUUAGCAUGGAAUAAUGAAAUAGGACGUUUGAUCCUAUUUUGUUGGUUUCUAGGAUCGACGUAAUGAUUAAUAGGGAUAGUUGGGGGCAUUAGUAUUCAAUUGUCAGAGGUGAAAUUCUUGGAUUUAUUGAAGACUAACUACUGCGAAAGCAUUUGCCAAGGAUGUUUUCAUUAAUCAAGAACGAAAGUUAGGGGAUCGAAGACGAUCAGAUACCGUCGUAGUCUUAACCAUAAACUAUGCCGACUAGGGAUCGGAUGAUGUUAAUUUUUAAUGACUCAUUCGGCGCCUUAA